AUAGUUUGAUUAUGGCUCAGAUUGAACGUUGGCGGCAGCUUUCAUACAUGCAAGUCGAACGGGCUAUCACCCUUCGGGCGAUAUGCUAGUGGCGGACGGGUGAGUAACGCGUAGGAAUCUACCUGGUUGAGGGGAAUAACAUCAGGAGACUGGUGCUAAUACCGCAUAAGACCUAAGGGUGAAAGCGGGGGAUCUUCGGACCUCGCGCGACCAGAGGAGCCUGCGUUGGAUUAGCUUGUUGGUGAGGUAAUGGCUCACCAAGGCGACGAUCCAUAGCUGGUCUGAGAGGACGAUCAGCCACACUGGAACUGAGACACGGUCCAGACUUCUAAGGAAGGCAGCAGUAGAGAAUAUUGCACAAUGGGGGAAACCCAGAUGCAGGCAUGCCGCGUGUGUGAAGACAGCCCUAGGGUUGUAAAGCACUUUCGGUGGUGAAGAAAGCCGGCGCGCUAAUACCGCGAUCCGGGUAGACGUUAACCGCUAAAGAAGCACCGGCUAACUCCGUGCCAGCAGCCGCGGCAAGACGGAGGGUGCGAACGUUAAUCGGAAUUACUGGGCGUAAAGCGCACGUAGGCGGAUGGUCAAGUGGGAUGUGAAAGCCCUAGGCUCAACCUGGGAAUUGCAUUCCAAACUGACGAUCUAGAGUGUAGUAGAGGAAAGUGGAAUUUGCUGUGUAGCGGUGAAAUGCGUAGAUAUGGCAAGGAACAUCAGUGGCGAAGGCGGCUUUCUGGACUAACACUGACGCUCAGGUGCGAAAGCGUGGGUAGCGAACAGGAUUAGAUACCCUGGUAGUCCACGCCGUAAACGAUGAGAACUAGCCGUAGAUCUU
rnacentral:rRNA from 1 species